AUUAUACUCCCUCCAUCCCAAGUUACUUGCCGCAGAAAUGGAUGUAUCUAGAUGUAUUUUUAGUUCUAGAUAUAUCAAUUUCUAUCCAUUUCUGCAAGUAAUUCGGGAAGAAGGGAGCAUCAG
rfam:Triticum aestivum genome assembly, contig: Triticum_aestivum_CS42_TGACv1_scaffold_377462_5AL